rnacentral:rRNA from 1 species
AGAGAGAGACAUGCGCGCAUAUCAAUAAGCGGAGGAAAAGAAACUAACAAGGAUUCCCCUAGUAACGGCGAGUGAAGCGGGAAGAGCUCAAAUUUGAAAUCUUAAAGGGUUUCCCUUUACGAAUUGUAGUUUAAAGAAGUGUUUUCUGUUGAGGUUUUGGUAAAAGUUCUUUGGAAUAGGACAUCAUAGAGGGUGAGAAUCCCGUAUUUGACCUUUACUUUCAACUUUGUGAUACACUUUCAAAGAGUCGGAUUGUUUGGGAAUGCAGUCCAAAAUGGGUGGUAAAUUUCAUCUAAAGCUAAAUAUUGGCGAGAGACCGAUAGCGAACAAGCUACCGUGAGGGAAAGAUGAAAAGAACUUUGAAAAGAGAGUUAAACAGUACGUGAAAUUGUCAAAAGGGAAGCGUUUGACACCAGUGUUGUUUUUCUGAAAAUCAAUUAAAGAACUGUUUAUGCUAAGUUGUUUAGACUUUAUCAGCUAACUGUUUAGUUUUGAGCUUUUCUUUAAUGCACUUUUCAGUUAACAAGUCAACAUCAAUUUCUUUUGCUGUAAAAAAGCUUGAGGAAGGUGGCUUGAGAUUCGUCUUAAGUGUUUAUAGCCUCUUGCCUAUGCAGUCGGAGAGAUUGAGGUCUGCAGCGUAGAUCCUUCGGGGCUAAAUGCAUUUGUGCUAAGUUAUAGCAUUUUAUAGACAACUUGUUGACUAUGAUUUGUCUUGUAGCUUACUCGCUUAUGUUAUUUUACCUACGCUUAGGAUGUUGAGCGCAUGUCUCUCUCU